rnacentral:lncRNA from 1 species
GGUACAACGGGACGUGGAGUUGGAUCGAGCUGUCUCGUAAGGAAUAUCGGAAGGGGUGGGGACACUACUGGGAGAUGGCAUAGGUCCAGGACACUAAUUAGGCUUUGGCUGAGAUCAGAUAAAGGAAACUGUUCGUAAGCUGCUUACUUAAAAAGAAAGGAAAAGGUGCGUUUGAGUUCAGGAGACUGCGAGUCCCAGAGCAGGAGGCGGGAGCCAGCGAAGGGUGGGCGUGUAAGGGGUGCAGUCGCUUCUCCCGCUGGGCAAGAGACUCCCCCUUUCGGCAGCCUGGGUUCCCCGCCUCCCCACCUCCUGCUCCUCCUCCCCCGAGCCCUAAGGGCCCGCAGGGCCUCCAGUAGCAAAGCCACUGGCCCCGCGUCCCCGCGUCCCCCUGCGCCGCGCCCCGGGGCGCAGGCAGGGACCACGCGGCCGGCGUGGGGGCGGCGCCACCCGCAGCAGAAAGCCCCGGCGUGGACCGCGUGGCGUAGGAAAGCGCUCCCCUCGCCCCCAGCCGCAGAGGGCUUGGGCAGCAUCGGGCGCGGCCCCGGGAGAGUGCGUCCGCGGCGCCAGCGGCUGCAGGGUGACCUGUUUCGGGCGGGGACACUCACCAGAAGAACACGCGUGAGCAGAGGACCAAACGACGGUGCCAUGGGAGGCUCUUCAACCUGUGAGCCAAACAUUUGACCUUGGACGACAGCAAAGUUUAGCCACAGAUUAUCCUUGUAGAGCUGCAAGACCUCAAGAAAGCCGGGUAACUCGAGAGUAUGACCCAGAUGAAUUCGGGAGAUGGAUGAAUGCUGUCGUCGAUGGGGGCGGGCUUUAGGCAUCUCACAUGUUGCAUGCUACGGUGGACCUCUGAGCUUUUUGCUGCCCCCUUAGAUUGGGAAAGGAAUAUAAGAGGAAAGAGAGACUGCCUGAUGAUUUCUGUCGUCAAGCCCUAAAGCCUAACAGAUAACAGUGGCAAACGACACGUGGGUUCCAGAAUACCAGUGAUGUUCAUGUGCAUUUCUGAGCUAGUCAAGUGAAGCAGUGGGAGUGGAAAAGGAGCAAAG